GUGCCAGCAGCCGCGGUAAAACGUAGGACGCGAGCGUUAUCCGGAGUUACUGGGCGUAAAGGGCGGGCAGGCGGCCUGGCAAGAUGGGUGUGAAAUCUCCCGGCUCAACCGGGAGGGGCCACUCGUGACUGCGAGGCUAGAGGGCGACAGAGGAGCGUGGAAUUCCGGGUGGAGUGGUGAAAUGCGUAGAGAUCCGGAGGAACACCAGAGGCGAAGGCGGCGCUCUGGGUCGCGCCUGACGCUGAACCGCGAAAGCCAGGGUAGCGAACGGGAUUAGAUACCCUCGUAGUCC
rnacentral:rRNA from 1 species